GAUAAACGCUGGCGGCGUGCCUAACACAUGCAAGUCGAACGAUCCCGCAAGGGAGAGUGGCGGAAGGGUGAGUAACACGUGGGAAUCUACCUCCUCGCAGGGAACAACCUCUCGAAAGAGAGGCUAAUACCCAAAAGGGUCAGAAAUGAUCAGAGUCGAAAGGCGUGAGGAGAGGAGCCCGCGGCCCAUCAGCUAGUUGGUGAGGUAAUGGCUUACCAAGGCUACGACGGGUAGGGGAUCUGAGAGGAUGUCCCCCACACUGGAACUGAAACACGGUCCAGACGCCUACGGGUGGCAGCAGUGAGGAAUAUUGGACAAUGGGCGAAAGCCCGGAUCCAGCAACGCCGCGUGGAGGAUGAAGGCCUUCGGGUCGGUAAACUU
rnacentral:rRNA from 1 species